ensembl:lncRNA
GUGUAUUCUAUUCUCCGAUCACUGAUCAGCGCCUAGAGCGUGACUCCUCUGCCUCUCUUCCUGCUCUCUGUUGGUUGACUGACAUUCCUUUGCCGUUUUGUUUCUGGACAGGAAGUGGAUCUGCUGCCAAAAAUGAUUAGAAGCCAGGGAAAGCAUAACAGAAAGCAUAACAUCUCCAGCGUCUCAACAGUAUGCUCUGGGAGUGCUCAAGGCCUGCCCUGCGCUAUGUCCAACAUAGAGAAAGAACGUCAGUUUGGUGAAGCAGGAUGUGUCUUGCUGGGAUCUCAAUAUGACAUUGUGGGGCACAGCUGACUAAAUGUCAUCUGCUGUUGAUUACAAACCAGACACAUUUCCACAAUGUGUUAAAAAAAAGUGUACUUAUGGAUGGGUGAAUCAUUAGGAUUACUGGAGGACUGUAACUCACACAAGAAUGUCAACCACAUCAAAUACGGAUGUAUGAAAUAAUCUCCCACCUCCCAGUGGAUAUAUU